rnacentral:lncRNA from 1 species
AAAAUAUAAAAGAUAAUGUGUAAAGAGUCGAGCAUAGGGUUUUAAAACAAUAGAAAACGAGCCGGGUCGGAUCUGGAAUGAAUCGGGUCAAUUCUGGGCCAAAAGUACGUCUGGGGAAGGGAUCGAUCGAUCCGGUGGGUGGAUCGAUCGAUCCCGAGUCACUGGAAACUGCUUCUUGUCUGUCAGAGGAUGGGAUCGAUCGAUCCACAAGUGGAUCGAUCGAUCUGGAUCUUCUGGUCUCCAACUCCGCAACUGCUUCAAAUGCUCGGCAGAAUGACCUGUCUUCACUACUUCGGGUAUAACUCUU